rnacentral:rRNA from 1 species
GACGAACGCUGGCGGCGUGCUUAACACAUGCAAGUCGAACGGAAAGGCCCUGCUUUUGUGGGGUGCUCGAGUGGCGAACGGGUGAGUAACACGUGAGUAACCUGCCCUUGACUGUGGGAUAACUUCAGGAAACUGGGGCUAAUACCGGAUAGGAGCUCCUGCUGCAUGGUGGGGGUGGGAAAGUUUCGGCGGUUGGGGGUGGACUCGCGGCUUAUCAGCUUGUUGGUGGGGUAGUGGCUUACCAAGGCUUUGACGGGUAGCCGGCCUGAGAGGGGGACCGGCCACAUUGGGACUGAGAUACGGCCCAGACUCCUACGGGAGGCAGCAGUGGGGAAUAUUGCACAAUGGGCGGAAGCCUGAUGCAGCAACGCCGCGUGCGGGAUGACGGCCUUCGGGUUGUAAACCGCUUUCGCCUGUGACGAAGCGUGAGUGACGGUAAUGGGUAAAGAAGCACCGGCUAACUACGUG